rnacentral:rRNA from 1 species
GAUGAACGCUGGCGGCGUGCUUAACACAUGCAAGUCGAACGAAGUGGCGAACGGGUGAGUAACGCGUAAUAAACCUGCCCUUCAGAGGGGGCCAACAGUAGGAAACGAAUGCUAAGAACGCAUACUGACGGAGGGGAUUGCGUCUGAUUGGCUUGUUGGAGGGGUGACGGGCCAUCAAGGCGAUGAUCGGACGGCGGACCGAGAGGGUGGACCGGCACAUUUGGACUGGGAAACGGCCCAAACUCCUACCGGAGGGAGCAGUGGGGGAUCUUCCGGAAUGGGCGAAAGUCUGACGGGGCAACGCCGCGUGAGUGAUGGCGGCCUUCGGGUUGUAAAGCUCUGUUAAUCGGGGCGCGGUACCGGAAUAGAAAGCCACGGCUAACUACGUGCCAGCAGCCGCGGUAAUAC